CGCAAGGUUGAAACUCAAAGNAAUUGACGGGGGCCCGCACAAGCGGUGGAGCAUGUGGUUUAAUUCGACGCAACGCGAAGAACCUUACCAGGGUUUGACAUGCCGGUAGUACCGACCUGAAAGGGAAGGGAGCCCGCAAGGAAGCCGGCACAGGUGGUGCAUGGCUGUCGUCAGCUCGUGUCGUGAGAUGUUGGGUUAAGUCCCGCAACGAGCGCAACCCUCGCCCUCUGUUGCCAGCGGGUCAAGCCGGGCACUCUGAGGGAACUGCCUCGGUCAACGAGGAGGAAGGCGGGGACGACGUCAAGUCAUCAUGCCCCUUACGCCCUGGGCUACACACGUGCUACAAUGGCCGGUACAGAGGGCUGCAAACCCGCGAGGGGGAGCUAAUCCCAUAAAGCCGGUCUAAGUUCGGAUUGCAGGCUGCAACUCGCCUGCAUGAAGGAGGAAUCGCUAGUAAUCGCGCAUCAGCACGGCGCGGUGAAUACGUUCCCGGGCCUUGUACACACCGCCCGUCACACCACGAAAGCCGGCUGUACUCGAAGCCGCCGAGCUAACCCGCAAGGGAGGCAGGCGCCAAAGGUAUGGUCGGUGAUUGGGGUG
rnacentral:rRNA from 1 species